rnacentral:rRNA from 1 species
UACGUAGGGGGCAAGCGUUGUCCGGAUUUAUUGGGCGUAAAGAGCGUGUAGGCGGUCAGGUAGGUCCGUUGUGAAAACUCGAGGCUCAACCUCGAGACGCCGAUGGAAACCAUCUGACUAGAGUCCGGAAGAGGAGAGUGGAAUUCCUGGUGUAGCGGUGAAAUGCGCAGAUAUCAGGAGGAACACCGAUGGCGAAGGCAGGUCUCUGGGCCGAUACUGACGCUGAGGAGCGAAAGCGUGGGGAGCGAACAGG